rnacentral:lncRNA from 1 species
CCACACUGUCGCUCCAAGCUCCCAGCAGGGUGGACGAGAAGAGCCCCACCAGGAAGCCGCCCACGUUCAUGUAGAGGGUCCAGUGGGAGGCUAGCCAAUAUUAACCAUCGCUAUCUACCGCUGAGGAAACGAGGUCAUCGGGUACUCAAGGCAGAGCUGGAAGAGCACAUGACUCCUGAUGCUGCUGAUGUUCUGCGCUGUAACAGAGAGGCAGCUGGAGAGGAUCGGAGUGGGCUGAGCCCAGCUGCCUGGGUUGGAGCACCUAGGCUCUGCCACUACCUUCGGCAUGCCACUUACCACCCUGAGCCUCUGUUUUUUCAUCUGUAAAAUGGAGUUGCUAACAAAACAUGUCUCAAAAA